GAGUCAGUGGAGUUGAACGGGGAAGAAGCAUCCUAAGAUGAAAUGUUUACAUUGCCAGGCCACAGGGAAGGACAGGCUCAGUCCUGAUUCAACUUGAUGAGCUGGGAAGGAUGGGAAAAGGAUCUCCCCUUAGAGCUUGUGCUGGUGGAUCUGAUAUAAGCAAUUGACUACUGCUUCAUAGCCAUGUCUGCCUGUCUGCUGCCAUGCUCCCUAGAAUGUUGGCCGUGGACUCUAACCCCCU